GUUAAGAUCCAAUGGCAGAAGGUGGCAUUCCCUGGGGAGGCAUAAGUUGUGAAGUAGGAAGAGAGCAGCAGAGGCUGGUGGCACAGCACUGUAGGAGAGGAGGCCCUGACUUCACUCUGGUAAGGUAAGUGCAUAUAGUCAUUACAGAGCACUCCAAGGUACUACCUGAAAGAAACAAGGGGCAUCUCAACUGUGCACCAAGGGAGUCCAGAACAUCUUCUCACCAAGGCAGGAAGGAUGGCAAGGAACAGACUUCUUGUACUAUAAAAGCUGCAAAGGCAGGAAUCCUAUCACAGGCCACGUUCGUUCCUACUGGACAGUUGGUAUUCUCAAGUUUUUGAAACAAGUGAAGUCAACUAUGCUAGCAUUGGCUCAUCAUGGAAACAGACUAAGAAAUGGAGAAGGAUCCAUAGCUAAGCAACAUGGUGCUUGCUUAAAAUUCCAGCGCUUGGAAGAUGAAGGCAGGAGGAU
rnacentral:lncRNA from 1 species